UACGGAGGAUGCAAGCGUUAUCCGGAUUCAUUGGGUUUAAAGGGUGCGCAGGCGGAGAUAUAAGUCAGUGGUGAAAAACUGUCGCUCAACGGUAGUCUUGCCAUUGAUACUGUUUCUCUUGAGUAUGGAUGAGGUAGGCGGAAUGUGCAGUGUAGCGGUGAAAUGCAUAGAUAUUGCACGGAACACCAAUUGCGAAGGCAGCUUACUGGGCCAUUACUGACGCUCAGGCACGAAAGCGUGGGGAUCAAACAGGAUUAGAUACCCUGGUAGUCCACGCAGUAAACGAUGUUCACUCGCUGUUUGCGAUAUACUGUAAGCGGCUUAGUUAAAGCAUUAAGUGAACCACCUGGGGAGUACGAUCGCAAGGUUGAAACUCAAAGGAAUUGACGGGGGCCCGCACAAGCGGAGGAACAUGUGGUUUAAUUCGAUGAUACGCGAGGAACCUUACCUGGGCUUAAAUGCAGGAUGCAUGCUGUGGAAACACACUUCCCUUCGGGGCUUCCUGCAAGGUGCUGCAUGGUU
rnacentral:rRNA from 1 species